UACGAAGGGGAGCUAGCGUUGCUCGGAAUUACUGGGCGUAAAGCGCACGUAGGCGGCUCUUUAAGUCGGGGGUGAAAUCCUGGAGCUCAACUCCAGAACUGCCUUUGAUACUGAGGAUCUUGAGUCCGGGAGAGGUGAGUGGAACUGCGAGUGUAGAGGUGAAAUUCGUAGAUAUUCGCAAGAACACCAGUGGCGAAGGCGGCUCACUGGCCCGGUACUGACGCUGAGGCACGAAAGCGUGGGGAGCAAACAGG
rnacentral:rRNA from 1 species